CUACGGGCGGCAGCAGUAAGGAAUAUUGCGCAAUGGAGGCAACUCUGACGCAGCCAUGCCGCGUGCAGGACUGAAGGCCUUAUGGGUCGUAAACUGCUUUUAUUUAGGAAUAAACUCUUGUACGUGUACGAGACUGAAGGUACUAAAUGAAUAAGCACCGGCUAACUCCGUGCCAGCAGCCGCGGUAAUACGGAGGGUGCAGGCGUUAUCCGGAUUUAUUGGGUUUAAAGGGUGCGCAGGCGAACUAUUAAGUCAGAGGUGAAAUCCCGGAGCUCAACUUCGGAACUGCCUUUGAUACUGGUAGUCUUGAAUACGGUUGAAGUAGGCGGAAUGUAGCAUGUAGCGGUGAAAUGCAUAGAGAUGCUACAGAACACCGAUCGCGAAGGCAGCUUACUAAGCCGAUAUUGACGCUCAGGCACGAAAGCGUGGGGAGCGAACAGGAUUAGAUACCCUCGUAGUC
rnacentral:rRNA from 1 species